AUUAUACUACCUUGGCAUCGUUUGUAUUGGACUAUUACGAUUUUGCAUUUCAUUGGACCUUCGUUGAAAUGGAAAACCCAAAUCGCUGUGUUGUUUGUGCUCGAUCUGUGCUACGGCGCCGAAAACAUAACCUUUCUCCGGCAUUCUUCGAGAGAAAUAGAGAUCAAGUGGAACUCAUAUUACAAGAAAUAGCACGACGACAGGUGCUGAACUAAAAAGAAAAUGGACCAACAUACGGGACUAUUACCGAAAAGAAAUUCAAAAACCAAAAAGGAUUCCUACAGGCAGUGCAGCUAAAAAAUCAAAAAAAAAUAUAUCUACAGUGACUUACUAUGCUUUCUUACACCUGUAUUUGCAAACAGAAAAUCUGAAGGCAACUAUUCAAAUGAAGAUACAGAUUGUACUCAACCACAACGAGAGACAAAUGAAGAAGAAGAAAGUAUUGAACAUGAUGUCAAUAUUACA
rnacentral:misc_RNA from 1 species